rnacentral:rRNA from 1 species
CAGCCGCCACGGGAAUACGAAGGGGGCUAGCGUUGUUCGGAAUUACUGGGCGUAAAGGGCGCGUAGGCGGCCAUUCAAGUUAGAUGUGAAAGCCCUGGGCUCAACCUAGGAAUUGCAUUUGAUACUGUUUGGCUUGAGUUCGGGAGAGGUGAGUGGAAUUCCCAGUGUAGAGGUGAAAUUCGUAGAUAUUGGGAAGAACACCGGUGGCGAAGGCGGCGACCUGGUCCUUGACUGACGCUGAGGCGCGAAAGCGUGGGGAGCAAACAGGAUUAGAUACCCCGGUAGUCCCUGUCUCUUAUAA